AGGACGAACGCUGGCGGCGUGCUUAACACAUGCAAGUCGAACGAGGUCCAUCCGGUAGCAAUACCGGAGAAGACCUAGUGGCGAACGGGUGAGUAACACGUGAGGAACCUGCCCCGAAGACCGGGAUAACAGGCGGGAAACCGCUGCUAAUACCGGAUACCCCCAUCGGAUCACAUGGCCUGAUGAGGAAAUGGAUUCCGCUUCGGGAGGGCCUCGCGGCCUAUCAGCUUGUUGGUGAGGUGACGGCUCACCAAGGCGACGACGGGUAGC
rnacentral:rRNA from 1 species